rnacentral:tRNA from 1 species
CGGGGUAUAGCUCAGUCCGGUUAGAGUACACGUCUGGGGGGCGCGAGGUCGCUGGUUCGAAUCCAGUUACCCCGA